UCAGCGCUACUCAAGUUUGUCACAAGUUGUUCUCGUCCUCCUCUUCUCGGAUUCAAGGAAUUGGUGCCAUCAUUUUGUGUUCACUAUGGAGGAGCUGAGGAAAGAUUACCAACAGCAAGUACUUGUAUGAACUUACUGAAAUUACCAGAAUUUAAGUCCGAUGAAACUAUGAGGGAAAAGUUGGUUUAUGCCAUCGAGUCUGAGGCAGGAUUUGAACUAAGUUAGGAACUUUGAGACUGCCAAAUAUGUGUAGUUUUAUAGAGAACAUAACACAUUUAAUAUUUUUAUUCAUAUAUGCUGGCCUUUAGUUCUGCUAACAAGCCGUCAUUUUGCUGUGCUAUAACUUAUUUUCUUUAAAUAUUUUUGUAAACUUUACCCAAUAAUAUAUGUGCAAUGGGAUAAAUUGAGCACUGUUUAGCGUAUUAAGGCCUGUUUACACUAUGACGAUAACUAUAAAAUCUAAAAAGCAGUUGUUCAUAUAGGAAAUAAAAGAAAUUUUAUAGCUUUUCCCUGAUGAUGAUGUCAUUUGAAUUGACUUGUGAAAUUAUUUUUUUAUCGUAUACACGAUAAAUUGUUAUCAAAUCGUGCUAGAGUGAAAAAUUCUCUUAUUUCUUUUAUUUUCUAUAUGAACAAUUGCUUUUUAUCAUUGAUCGUUAUCGUCAUACUGUAAUCAGACCUUAAGACCGUGUACUGCACAAUUGCACAUAUAUCUACAAUAUUCAAAUUCAAGUGUUAUGAUUAGGCCAGAGAAGAAUUGGUUGUGUGGCUCAAACUUUGUGACAGUUGAAAAUCAUGGUUGGUCAGUUGGAAGUUGUUUCUUUUGAUAUAUUAUCUUUAGUACGAUAGGUCUACGGUAUGUGUAAUUCUAGGGGUUGUCUUUAGUGUGAUAGGUCUAUGUUUAAUUCUAGGGGCUAUCAUUAGUACAUUACGAUAGGUCUGUGCCUAAUUCAAGAGGCUAUCUUUAGUACGUUAUGAUAAGUCUAUGCCUAAUUUUAGGGUGCAUGGCUAACACUAACCUCCCUUUUGACUGUUGAAGUGGCAACAACCGGGCUAAAAUCCAUUAAUCAAAUUAAUAACUAUUUUUAUUGGAUCCACUGAAGGCAAAAAAAUCUGACUUUUAAAAUUCUUGAAUUAUAUAGUGGCAGACCAGAGGAUCAGGGCACAAUACAUGAUUUUGUGAAGCUUCACUCUUUUAUAAUGAUCUUUUGUUGCUGUUGAUCCAAAAUAUGAAAUGAAUGUGUUAAUUUUUUAACAUUUCUUAAGGAAUAAGUAAAUAAAAACAGAUGAUGUUUGGUUUUCAACAAAAAAUGAAAAGUCCUAUUUAAGAAUGCAAGAUUAAUGAUUCCAAGGCUAUUAAUAAUAAACCACAUCAGCUUUUGUUUAAUUAGUAAGCAAUACUAGAUAUUGAUAUUUUGUGUAGAAAUUAUCAAUUAUUAUGAUCAUCAUAAGCAACAUUAUUAUCUUAGAUAUCGUUGCAUAGUUUGACUUACUGAUUGAUUAUUGCCAUUAAAUUGUGACCGGUUUUCGUCUAGGUAGGGCUUAUGGCCAUAUACUGUAUGUACUAUAAUGAUUGUUACGCAUUAUUGUUGUUAACAUAUUUAUCAACAUACUAUAAACAGUCCUUGAUUUACUAUAAUAAUAAUAUUACUAUGUGGUUAGAAUCAAUUUUUUUUUGUUAAUUGUGGCUGUACAAUAUAUACAAAAAGCUACAAAAUAUGCCAUAAUACCUCGAAUAGAAGCCCUGGGCUUCUUUUCUUUGCAAACUUGUAAGGGUUUGCUUUUCGAGAUGGACUUCUUUUUGAGAUGGACUGUUUUUAAAGGCUGUUUUACAAACUAAAGAGGUGGGUUUCUUUUCAAAAUGAAUCCUGUAAAUUUUGGAAUUACUACUAUAAAACAAUUAUCAGUCUGUAGGCCUACCAUAGAGUAUAUUAACUGAACUACAUUAUAAACCAAGCGUGUUUAUAAUAUAUAUAUAUUUUUUUUUUAUUCAUGUACAGUGUAUUUAUUUUACUAUCUCGAAAAAAAGCUCUUGGGAUUCUUUUUCAUGGGCUUCUUUUGGAGGCUACUUUUGCAAAAUUAAAAGGGGGCUCCAAUUCGAGAUUAAGCCUAUUGGGCUUCCAUUCGAGGUUUUACAGUAGUACGGUAAUCGGUUAUGGAUAUCUGUAAUGAAAUUAUAUCAGAGUAACAUACAUAUCCUAUUUAUUUAACUUUAUAAUAGGGUCAUAAUUUUGUUGUUUGUAUUCAUUUAUAAAUGAAAAUUAAAUUACCUGAAAUCUUGGUUUUAA